AGAUGUGAGGGUGGUCUGGCUGUGACAUCUGUCACCCUAUUGAUCUCCAGGGUUGAUUUACUGAUCUGGCUGGCUAGGUGGGUGUCCCCUCCCCCCUCACCAAUCCAUGUGCGUCCCUCCCGAAGCUGCGCGCUCGGUCGAAGAGGACGACCUUCCCCCCCGAGGAGAGGACCGGUCUUUGGUCAAGGGUAUACGAGUAGCUGCGCUCCCCUGCUAGAACCUCCAAACAAGCUCAAAAUAAGAAUUAGCACCUCCACUUUAUGUAUGAGGACCCCCUUCGGCACCGGGAAAGGAGAGACCAGGGUUCUAGUUCUGGUUCUGCCAUC
rnacentral:snRNA from 1 species